rnacentral:rRNA from 1 species
UAUACGACCGUACCGCAAACCGACACUGGUGCGCGAGAUGAGUAUUCUAAGGCGCUUGAGAGAACUCAGGAGAAGGAACUCGGCAAAUUGACACCGUAACUUCGGAAGAAGGUGUGCCCUAUUAGUGUGUAGUGAACAACGAAGCAUGAAUGGGUUGCAAAAAAUCGGUGGCUGCGACUGUUUAUUAAAAACACAGCACUCUGCAAACACGAAAGUGGACGUAUAGGGUGUGACGCCUGCCCGGUGCUGGAAGAUUAAAUGAUGGGGUGCAAGCUCUUGAUUGAAGUCCCAGUAAACGGCGGCCGUAACAAUAACGGUCCUAAGGUAGCGAAAUUCCAUGUCGGGUAAGUUCCGACCUGCACGAAUGGCGUAACGAUGGCCACACUGUCUCCUCCUGAGACUCAGCGAAGUUGAAAUGUUUGUGAUGAUGCAAUCUCCCCGCGGAAAGACGGAAAGACCCCAUGAACCUUUACUGUAGCUUUGUAUUGGACUUUGAACAGAUCUGUGUAGGAUAGGUGGGAGGCUUUGAAGCAGGGUCGCUAGAUCUUGUGGAGCCAACGUUGAAAUACCACCCUGGUGUGUUUGAGGUUCUAACCUAGGUCCAUUAUCUGGAUCGGGGACAGUGCAUGGUAGGCAGUUUGACUGGGGCGGUCUCCUCCCAAAGCGUAACGGAGGAGUUCGAAGGUACGCUAGUUACGGUCGGACAUCGUGACGAUAGUGCAAUGGCAUAAGCGUGCUUAACUGCGAGACUGACAAGUCGAGCAGAUGCGAAAGCAGGACAUAGUGAUCCGGUGGUUCUGUAUGGAAGGGCCAUCGCUCAACGGAUAAAAGGUACUCUGGGGAUAACAGGCUGAUACCGCCCAAGAGUUCAUAUCGACGGCGGUGUUUGGCACCUCGAUGUCGGCUCAUCUCAUCCUGGGGCUGUAGCCGGUCCCAAGGGUAUGGCUGUUCGCCAUUUAAAGAGGUAUGUGAGCUGGGUUUAAAACGUCGUGAGAUAGUUUGGUCCCUAUCUUCCGUGGGCGCUGCAGAUUUGAGGAAGCCUGCUCCUAGUACGAGAGGACCGGAGUGGACACACCUCUGGUGUAUCGGUUGUCACGCCAGUGGCAUUGCCGAGUAGCUAAGUGUGGAAGAGAUAACCGCUGAAAGCAUCUAAGCGGGAAACUCGUUUCAAGAUGAGAUCUGCCGGGGCCUUGAGCCCCCUAAAGAGUCGUUCAAGACCAGGACGUUGAUAGGUCAGGUGUGGAA